rnacentral:rRNA from 1 species
CACGUAGGGUGCGAGCGUUGUCCGGAAUUAUUGGGCGUAAAGGGCGCGUAGGCGGCGCAAUAAGUCACUUGUGAAAUCUCCGGGCUUAACUCGGAAAGGUCAAGUGAUACUGUUGUGCUAGAGUGCGGAAGGGGCAACUGGAAUUCUCGGUGUAGCGGUGAAAUGCGUAGAUAUCGAGAGGAACACCUGCGGCGAAGGCGGGUUGCUGGGCCGACACUGACGCUGAUGCGCGAAAGCCAGGGGAGCGAACGGG